rnacentral:tRNA from 1 species
UGCAUCAGCCAGGAAUCGAACCCUGGCCGCCCGCGUGGCAGGCGAGCAUUCUACCACUGAACCACCGAUUC